CAGUAGCCGCGGGAAUACGUAGGUGGCAAGCGUUGUCCGGAAUUAUUGGGCGUAAAGGGCUCGCAGGCGGCUUCUUAAGUCUGAUGUGAAAGCCCCCGGCUCAACCGGGGAGGGUCAUUGGAAACUGGGAAACUUGAGUGCAGAAGAGGAGAGUGGAAUUCCACGUGUAGCGGUGAAGUGCGUAGAGAUGUGGAGGAACACCAGUGGCGAAGGCGACUCUCUGGUCUGUAACUGACGCUGAGGAGCGAAAGCGUGGGGAGCGAACAGGAUUAGAUACCCGCGUAGUCCCUGUCUCUUAUAC
rnacentral:rRNA from 1 species